rnacentral:tRNA from 1 species
GGAGAGUUGCCGGAGAGGUUUAACGGACCAGUUUGCUAAACUGGCAGCUUUAUGCUACAUGGGUUCAAAUCCCAUACUCUCCG